AGUGAACGCUGGCGGCAGGCCUAACACAUGCAAGUCGAACGGCAGCACAGUAAGCGCUCUCUUUUACGGGUGGCGAGUGACGGACGGGUGAGGAGUACAUCGGCUUCUACUUUUACGUGGGUGACAACGUAGGGAAAUUUAUGCUACUACAGCAUAUGUUCUACCGCUGAAAUCAAGAGUUCAUCGGACUCUGCGCGAUCGAAUUAGCCGAUGCCGGAUUAGCUAGUCGGCGGGGUAAAGGCCCACCAAGGCGACGAUCCGUAGCUGCUCUGAGAGGAUGAUCCGCCACACUGGAACUGAGACACGGUCCAGACUCCUACGGGAGGCAGCAGUAGGGAAUAUUCCGCAAUGGGCGGAAGCCUGAUCGAGCCAUCCCGCGUGAGUGAUGAAGGCCUUCGGAUUGUAAAGCCCUUUUAUUAGGAAAGAACAUCCGUGGAAGAAUACCCCGCUGUUUUGACGGUACCGAAAGAAUAAGCCCCGGCUAACUUCGUG
rnacentral:rRNA from 1 species